rnacentral:tRNA from 1 species
UGGGAUAUGGCCAAGCGGUAAGGCAAAGGAUUUUGACUCCUUUAUGCGUAGGUUCGAAUCCUACUAUCCCAA